rnacentral:rRNA from 1 species
AUUGAACGCUGGCGGCAGGCCUAACACAUGCAAGUCGAACGAGUGGCGGACGGGUGAGUAACGCGUAUCAACCUGCCCUUCAGGGGGGGACAACAGUUGGAAACGGUAGCUAAUACCGCAUACCAUCGGAUGUGCCCAGAUGGGAUUAGCUAGUAGGUGGGGUAAAGGCCUACCAAGGCGACGAUCCGUAGCUGGUCUGAGAGGAUGACCAGCCACACUGGAACUGAGACACGGUCCAGACUCCUACGGGAGGCAGCAGUGGGGAAGAUUGCACAAUGGGCGCAAGCCUGAUGCAGCCAUGCCGCGUGUAUGAAGAAGGCCUUCGGGUUGUAAAGUACUUUCAGCGGGGAGGCGUUACCCGCAGAAGAAGCACCGGCUAACUCCGUGCCAGCAGCCGCGGUAAUAC